GAUGAACGCUGGCGGCGUGCCUAACACAUGCAAGUCGAGCGCGUCUGAUUUGAUGCUUGCAUUGAUGAAAGAUGAGCGGCGGACGGGUGAGUAACGCGUGGGUAACCUGCCCUAUACACAUGGAUAACAUACUGAAAAGUUUACUAAUACAUGAUAAUAUAUAUUUACGGCAUCGUAGAUAUAUCAAAGUGUUAGCGGUAUAGGAUGGACCCGCGUCUGAUUAGCUAGUUGGUGAGAUAACUGCCCACCAAGGCGACGAUCAGUAGCCGACCUGAGAGGGUGAUCGGCCACAUUGGAACUGAGACACGGUCCAAACUCCUACGGGAGGCAGCAUUGGGGAAUAUUGCACAAUGGGCGCAAGCCUGAUGCAGCUACGCCGCGUGAACAAUGAAGGUCUUCGGAUCGUAAAGUUCUGUUGCAGGGGAAGAUAAUGACGGGACCCUGUGAGGAAGCCCCGGCUAACUACGUGCCAGCAGCCUGGGAUUACGUGGGGGCUAGCUUGAUCCGGAUUGCUGGGCGGAAGUGUGGCGGGGGGUCUUUCAAGUCGUUGUUAAGGCUACGGCUCACCCUGUUGUCUCCAAACUGUAGACUGUGUGUGGUGGAGGAAAUGGAAUGCCCAGCUUUCGUGUGUACCUUUGAUUGUGGUAGUACACUGGUGUGUGAGUGUUUGUUGUGUGUGUGUGCUCGGGGUGCGAUGGUGUUGUGUGUGUAUGAUUUGAUAUCUUAGAGUCCAUGGUGAUGUCUUGUGAUUUGUGUGUGUGUCUGUUGUGCCUGUGGUGAAAAAGUGUGUAUUUAUAUUAUGUUUAUGUGUUGACUUAGUGUGUGUUGUGCUGUGCUGUAGUAUUUGUGUGAUGUGGUGUAUGUUGCUAUGUGAUUGUUGAUGUUGUGUUGUUAUGUGUGCUGUGUAUGUUGUGUUGUAUUAUAGCUUUGAUAUGUCGUGUAUGCUGCUUAUGUGCGU
rnacentral:rRNA from 1 species